CUCACAUCCCAACAAAUCUCUCUCUCUCUCUCUUCACCUUCUAGGGUUUCUCUACCUCCACUCUCCAAAAUCCAAAGAUUGAAUAUCUUCACCAAAAACCCCACAAAAACCCUUCAACUUCUACCACAGUCCCAUCCAUUUCCAUCACAUUCACAUUCUUUGCUAAACUAACUUUCACUUCCACAACACCAAACCAACCCAUCCCAUCCCCCAACACACAGUUUCCAUUUUUAGCUAGCUAAAAGAUAAGCCCUCAAACCCCACCCAUUCAUGGCCAAGACCAAACCUGGCAAAAAGGACCUCGAUUCUUACACUAUCAAAGGCACCAACAAAAUCGUCAGACCUGGUGAUUGUGUGUUGAUGCGACCAUCGGACUCCGAUAAGCCUCCAUAUGUGGCGCGUGUGGAGAAGAUCGAAGCAGAUCACCGCAACAACGUGAAGGUUAGAGUCCGAUGGUAUUAUCGGCCGGAGGAGUCGAUCGGAGGGCGGAGACAGUUCCAUGGGGCCAAGGAGCUGUUUCUAUCAGACCACUAUGAUGUUCAGAGUGCACACACUAUUGAGGGCAAGUGUAUAGUACACUCCUUCAAGAACUAUACUAAGCUUGAGAAUGUUGGAGCUGAGGAUUACUUUUGUAGGUUUGAGUACAAGGCUGCUACUGGAGGGUUCACCCCAGACCGUGUGGCUGUGUAUUGCAAGUGUGAGAUGCCAUAUAACCCGGACGACCUAAUGGUGCAGUGUGAGGGAUGCAAGGACUGGGUUAUGCCCUUGCCAGAACAUUGGCUGGAGACCUGAAGGGCAACAUGCAGAUUGAGGUCGGAGAGAAUGGGAACAUUUGCACAAGGGAACAAUGUGAUAGGAGCUGGAGACGAGCUGGUCAGAGCCAUGGCGGGUUUCAUCCUUCUUGUAUGGGUAUGACCAUUGAAGAAGCCAAAAAAUUGGAUCAUUUUCUGUGUUCUGACUGUUCAUCUGAUGAUGAUGCCAAAAGAUCCUUAAAUGUUUUCCCUGUAUCACCAUCUGUUGAGGCUAAGGUGGAGCCAAAGCGCAGGAAGAGAUGACUGACUGUGACACAUAAUGGGGAGGUACUCAUUUCUUGCUCGUCUCCAGUAUUGUUGUUGUUGUUGUUGUUGUUGUUGUUGUUGUGUGAUGUGGAAUUGUACAGUGCAGAGAAGAUACUGUGCUUGCACAAACCAAAGGCUUUUCUUGUUUUACCAUGUUCAAAUGUUUGUAUGUGUGCUAGACUUAGGAGAUGACUUUGUGAUCUGUAUUUUCCUUGAAGAGCACAAUGUGCAAAAAGUGCACGAAUCUUAAUUAAGCGCAGAACACACAAGAACAAAAAAACCUUAAAUUUAGGCAAAACUGUGGGCUCUGUUGUGAUGUCCUUGUUGCUUGUGUUAUUACUGUACGUGCCACCCCAAUUUUACUAGCCUUUUUUAUUGUCCCUUUAUAACCUUUGUUGAGGGGAAAGGUAGAUAGAAGAUGAAUGGGGUACGGUGUUUUUACCCCAAGAUCAAUCAAAUGUUGAAUCCAUUGAUGGCAACUAUAUCAGUGGCUCAAGAUAAGUGGACUCAGGUUAUUGUUGAGUUAGGAGGUUAUUGUUGAUUCUCAUUUGAGCCCACUACUGACAUCACUUCAUCAUCUACCAUUAGCAACUUGCCACCUCAACGAUUGUGAAAUAUUUUGUGAGGUUUUGGCGUCUCUAGAGUUUUUGAUAAUGAAGUGGGUUUGCUCUAGCUAUCAUCCACAUCAUGAUGCCACUGGGUUGACCCGAUUUACUGGUGGAACUCUUUCUUUACUCUGGUUGAUUUUUCAAAACUCCAAAGCCCUACUUCCAAUGCUUUGAGUUAUGAAGAAUUGAAGAUUCACAUAAUUGCACCUACUUCCUUUUUCAGCUGGAAGAUCAUUCCAAGAAAACUAGACUAUGAUGAAUUUUUUUCACUUCCAUACAAGCAAACUUGUAUCAUGCAAUUGGCAUUUUAUAUGAUGUUAUUUGUGUUGUAUAUUAUGGACUUAUCAAGGAGGC